rnacentral:rRNA from 1 species
CCAAUAGCGUAUAUUAAAGUUGUUGCAGUUAAAAAGCUCGUAGUUGAAUUUCGGGAUCAGUACGCCGGUCGUGCCUUCGGUAUGCACUGGUGUCACUGAUUCCUCCCUUCUGAAGAACCGUUAUGCCAUUUAUUUGGUGUGGCGGGGAAUCAGGACUGUUACUUUUAAAAAAUUAGAGUGUUUAAAGCAGGCUCGCGCUUGAAUACAUUAGCAUGGAAUAAUGAAAUAGGAAGUUUGAUCUUAUUUUGUUGGUUUCUAGGAUCGACGUAAUGAUUAAUAGGGAUAGUUGGGGGCAUUAGUAUUCAAUUGUCAGAGGUGAAAUUCUUGGAUUUAUUGAAGACUAACUACUGCGAAAGCAUUUGCCAAGGAUGUUUUCAUUAAUCAAGAACGAAAGCUAGGGGAUCGAAGACGAUCAGAUACCGUCGUAGUCUUAACCAUAGACUAUGCCGACUAGGGAUCGGAUGAUGUUAAUUUUUUAAUGACUCAUUCGGCGCCUUACG